UUUCUGGUCUUUGCUUGCCAGAGACAACAUCUUAUCUUCUUCAAUUCUCUUGAAACAGUAUGUCACAAUACACUAUCUUUUCCCAAGUAGUUACCCGAGGUGGAACUUUACCCAUGUGAAGAGCACAAAAUGCUUACAUAUAGUAUCGAGAUGUGUAUCUUUCUUAAGCUUCACAAUCAUCUUAAAAUGCGAAGUGCUAUAUGCAUACACUCAACCCCUGUAUUUUAAGACUGUCUUGAUGCACCACAGAAGUUUAGAGGGAGGGAAUCCCUAUUGUGUACUGUCACAAGAUACAUUGUCAAAUAAAAAUCUUGGACCAAGUCAGUGUUUGUUUUUCAAGUACUCUGCCGUUCAACCUAAUUACCAAGCAUUUGAAAGAAUAUUGGUUCGUGGUCAGGAUGGGUAUUACACUCUGCAAGAGCGAACCUCUGGGCAGCCUCUCGAGCAUGCCACGUAGGAUUUGUACAGCGCACGCGUAUAGGACAGAGAGAAAAAAGUGUAUUGGCUAGGACAAACUAUCCCAGGUCUUCCUUUCCCAGAUGCUGCUGUCCCUGACUCAAGCCAGCGACUGAAUGCUUGAUUUUAUCUACCCACAAAGCCAAUCCAUGAUCCCCUCUCUCUCUCUCUUCCACUCUUCUUGCCUUCAUCACGAAGGCUGCUCUCAUCAACGACCAUGGGUAAGCCAAGGAGCUCACGUAUUGCUCUCGCGACCGGUGCUGGCGGGGCUACGCGCUUCGAUUGGGCGACGGACGGCCCCGUCUUGGUCUCGCGCCGCCAUCGAUCCGCCCUUCUCGUUCGCCGCGCGCCCGCGCCCUAUGCUAGCAGGUGGGUGGGGGAGGACGAGGUCGCUGCGGUUGUCGGCGCCUCCUCUGUCGCCGGAGGCCAUGGACUCUCCGUCUCUCCCCAUCAACCGCAUAAUCCGCCUCUGCUGUUGUUUUCAUCGGGUGUGAGGUGAGUCUCAGUUUCUAUUUCUGUCGAUUAGUAUUUUUUUUGUUAGAUAUUCACAGAAAUUAAGGGAGUAUCUGUGGUCAAAAGAUUUUAGGUAUCUACACUCCAAUGCUUAUUUCAGGAUCGUGUGAAGGUGAGAAGCCUAUUCAAACUGGCAUAUCAUGGCCAACCUGUUUUGUUUAGCGCAAUCCCCUAGGCUGCACACGAGCUUGCCUUGGCUAUCUGUGGUUGGUUCCGUAGUGUAUUUGAGGUUAUGCCCAUGUUUAGAGUCGAAGAUUCCAAUACACGUAGGCAUCUGUGUGAGUUUGUAUGGGUCACUAUUUUGGGGUGAAGAAGAUUGAUAGGGUAUAGUUCAUCUGCAAAACAGUGACUAUGAAUUUGUUUCUCUAUAAAGGUUUGCGAUAUUAUAGAUGGAUUAUUCAUUGAAUUAUUUAGACCGUUUACUGGAAAUUGCAAGAACGAACUUGAGACAAUUAAUAAAGCAGUAUCCAUUUGAGCAACUGAAGGUAAAAUAUUCCUGCUUGGUUAUUCCAGUUAUGUUACAAUAUUUGAGUUUUGUGGCUCAAGAUGUUGAUUCACAUUGUCUUAAUUCCUGCAUAUUGGUUUCUUUAUACCCCUUGACAUGGAGAUCCAGGAAGGAGGGAAGGAGGCGAGUCUCUCCCACGGCGUCGCUGUCAAGGAGCAGUAAGGGACCUCCCUGUCUAUAAGCAUCGUCGCGAGGAGGACAAAAGAACAUGCCCGUGGUCAUCUACCUAGCAUUUGAUCAAGCGAAUGAAACUGUGAGACUCAGUAUGCCAAUGUUGAAGUGACCAAACACCUGACCGUAAAAUGGCACAUGUACAUCUAGCUCUUUAUUCUAUCACUUUGAUUUGUGGAAGCCACUAAGUUGCUGCUGUAGGGAUGCAUAAUCAGAUGAAGGGAGAGGAGGAAGAGCUCAAGAAGAUUAAUAUAUUUCUAUAUUAUUCCACAUAUAUGAGUUUGUGUGACGUUACUUUCAAUUACUAAAGAUGGUCUUCUUUGAUGGUUUAUAUCUGCUUCAUACUUUCUGUUAUGUUUCUGUGUCAAUAAAUACACCACCUGUUUGUAUCAAAAUAGAGGGAUAUUUGCAGGCUUCAAUGGAAGGGUGUUGUAAGAGAUCAGAAACUUAUUUAGUUAAUCAUAUUAUGUGGUACA